UUAAUUGAAGAGUUUGAUCAUGGCUCAGAUUGAACGCUGGCGGCAGGCCUAACACAUGCAAGUCGAACGGUAACAGGGAGCAGCUUGCUGCUCUGCUGACGAGUGGCGGACGGGUGAGUAAU
rnacentral:rRNA from 1 species